CCUACGGGAGGCAGCAGUGGGGAAUAUUGGGCAAUGGAGGCAACUCUGACCCAGCAACGCCGCGUGAAUGAUGAAGGUCUUCGGAUUGUAAAGUUCUGUGAUGGGGGAUGAACACAAUGACGGUACCCCAAUAGCAAGCCACGGCUAACUACGUGCCAGCAGCCGCGGUAAUACGUAGGUGGCAAGCGUUAUCCGGAAUGACUGGGCGUAAAGGGUGCGUAGGUGGUGUAGUAAGUUGGCGGUGUAAUUCCGGGGCUCAACCUCGGCGCUACCGCCAAAACGAUUAGACUAGAGUGCAGGGGGGGUAAGUGGAAUUCCUAGUGUAGCGGUGGAAUGCGUAGAUAUUAGGAGGAACAUCAGGGGCGAAGGCGACUUACUGGACUGUAACUGACACUGAGGCACGAAAGCGUGGGGAGCAAACAGGAUUAGAUACCCGGGUAGUC
rnacentral:rRNA from 1 species